UACGUAGGGGGCUAGCGUUAUCCGGAAUUACUGGGCGUAAAGGGUGCGUAGGUGGUUUCUUAAGUCAGAGGUGAAAGGCUACGGCUCAACCGUAGUAAGCCUUUGAAACUGGGAAACUUGAGUGCAGGAGAGGAGAGUGGAAUUCCUAGUGUAGCGGUGAAAUGCGUAGAAAUCAGGAGGAAUACCAGUGGCGAAGGCGGCUUUCUGGACUGACCCUGACGCUGAGGUGCGAAAGCGUUGGUAGCAAACAGGAUUAGAUACCCGGGUAGUCCCUGAGCGGGCU
rnacentral:rRNA from 1 species